UACGUAGGUGGCAAGCGUUGUCCGGAUUUACUGGGUGUAAAGGGCGUGCAGCCGGGCUGACAAGUCAGAUGUGAAAUCCCGCGGCUCAACCGCGGAACUGCAUUCGAAACUGUCAGUCUUGAGUACCGGAGAGGUCAUCGGAAUUCCUUGUGUAGCGGUGAAAUGCGUAGAUAUAAGGAAGAACACCAGUGGCGAAGGCGGAUGACUGGACGGCAACUGACGGUGAGGCGCGAAAGCGUGGGGAGCAAACAGG
rnacentral:rRNA from 1 species